rnacentral:lncRNA from 1 species
AAUUACAACAUCAACCCUCAUAUUUCAGCGUAUGGGCAAAUUACCAGUGGAGUCAAGAAUAAAUUCAUUCUGCCCUACUGGAGCUUUAGAUCAGGUUGCACAAUCCCGGGGCAGAAGUGCCUUCGCCUAGCCCUAAAGCAUCAGGUACUAAAUACUGUACUAACUCAGUGUCAGGACAUUUUAAAGCGGGAGGGAAACUCAAGGGUCGCCUAAACCAAUUCAACAAGCCCAUAAUCCCGAAUUCAGGAAUUUGUCACGUCACUUGAGAUCAGAAUGAAAUGAAGUUUCGAUCCCUUUGAGAUCUCUUAGCGCACAAAGUCAGGCUAUCAUUACAAGAGGAGUCCGACCCUGGCUGUAGGAAAACGACUCGGUGCGGAACUCGAGUCUCUUCCGCCCACUGUGUGGGGCCGCACCAGUCAGGUCCAGCGAGGAGCUGGGGCGCGAGUUUGGGGGCGCAGCCGGGGCCGGCGGGGGCGGCGAGCGCGCGUCCCCCCGCCCGCUCAGGCAGCGUCGAGGCGCGAGCAGCUCAGCCAGCCUUGCAGAGGGAGCUCUCGGCAGCUCUGGGGUCUCUCUGCUCGCAGCCGCAGCAGCGCCGCCUGCGCCACUCGGCGGAGACGGAGACCAGAGGCGGCGGCGCGCGGACUG